UACGUAGGUGGCAAGCGUUAUCCGGAUUUACUGGGUGUAAAGGGCGUGUAGGCGGGUCAGCAAGUCGGGUGUGAAAUAUCCAGGCUUAACCUGGAUGGGUCAUCUGAAACUGCGGAUCUUGAGUGCUGGAGAGGAUAGUGGAAUUCCUGGUGUAGCGGUAAAAUGCGUAGAUAUCAGGAGGAACACCAGUGGCGAAGGCGGCUAUCUGGACAGUAACUGACGCUGAGGCGCGAAAGCGUGGGGAG
rnacentral:rRNA from 1 species